UUGAACGCUGGCGGCAGGCCUAACACAUGCAAGUCGAACGGUAACAGGAAGCAGCUUGCUGCUUCGCUGACGAGUGGCGGACGGGUGAGUAAUGUCUGGGAAACUGCCUGAUGGAGGGGGAUAACUACUGGAAACGGUGGCUAAUACCGCAUAACGUCGCAAGACCAAAGAGGGGGACCUUCGGGCCUCUUGCCAUCAGAUGUGCCCAGAUGGGAUUAGCUAGUUGGUGAGGUAACGGCUCACCAAGGCGACGAUCCCUAGCUGGUCUGAGAGGAUGACCAGCCACACUGGAACUGAGACACGGUCCAGACUCCUACGGGAGGCAGCAGUGGGGAAUAUUGCACAAUGGGCGCAAGCCUGAUGCAGCCAUGCCGCGUGUAUGAAGAAGGCCUUCGGGUUGUAAAGUACUUUCAGCGGGGAGGAAGGUGUUGUGGUUAAUAACCACAGCAAUUGACGU
rnacentral:rRNA from 1 species